rnacentral:rRNA from 1 species
UGAGGAAUAUUGGGCAAUGCCCGCAAGGGUGACCCAGCAACGCCGCGUGGAGGAUGAAUGUCGUAAGAUUGUAAACUCCUGUUAGAGGGGAAGAAUAGUACCGGUUGGACCGGUAUAUGACUGUACCCUCAGAGAAAGCCCCGGCUAACUACGUGCCAGCAGCCGCGGUAAUACGUAGGGGGCAAGCGUUGCCCGGAUUUACUGGGUGUAAAGGGCGCGCAGGCGGGAUAAAAAGUCAGUGGUGAAAUCCUACAGCUUAACUGUAGAACUGCCUUUGAUACUUUUAUUCUUGAGUUCGGGAGAGAGAGGCGGAAUUCCAGGUGUAGUGGUGAAAUACGUAGAUAUCUGGAAGAACACCAGUUGCGAAGGCGGUCUCUUGGUCCGACACUGACGCUGAGGCGCGAAAGCGUGGGGAGCAAACA